UACAGAGGGUGCGAGCGUUGUCCGGAAUCACUGGGCGUAAAGGGCGCGUAGGCGGUCUCUUAAGCGUGUGGUGAAAGCCCGGGGCUCAACUCCGGGUCGGCCGUGCGAACUGGGGGACUGGAGCUUGUCAGAGGCAGGCGGAAUUCCGGGUGUAGCGGUGGAAUGCGUAGAGAUCCGGAAGAACACCGGUGGCGAAAGCGCUCUGCUAGGCCGCAACUGACACUGAGGGACGAAAGCGAGGGGAGCGAAUGGG
rnacentral:rRNA from 1 species